rnacentral:lncRNA from 1 species
GGCCUUCGAUACAUGAUUUUUUUUGGGGGGGGGCACAUAAUUCAGCUUACAACUAGGCAAAUUGCGUCUUUAGUCUUAGCCUCUUGGGAGAAAGGAAGAAAAGUGCAAUUGGGUUGUCUGUUGGGCCUCGUCCCUUGAAGAGUAGAACUUGGAACCUGCUACUAUUUUUUUGAUGUAUUUAUUUUCAUUAAAGCAUAAUUGAUUUGCAGUGUUGUCCCAGUUUCUGCUAUACAGCAUAGUGACCCAGUCAUUCAUAUAUAUGUGUAUGUGUGUAUAUAUAUAUAUAUAUAUUCUUUUCCUCAUAUUAUCUUCAAUCAUAUUCUUUCCCAAGAGUUUGGAUAUAGUUCCCUGGGCUGUACAGUAGGACCUCAUUGCUUACUCAUUCUAAAUGUAAUAGUUUGCAUCUACCAACCCCAAACUCCCAGUCCAUCACUCCCUCCCCCUCCCCCUUGGCAACCACAAGUCUGUUCUCUAUGUCUGUGAGUCUGCUGUUCUGCAGAUUGAUUCAUUUGGGCCAUAUUAAGAUUCCACAUAUAAGCAAUAUCAUAUGGUACUUUCUUUCUCCUUUGACUUACCUUUACUUAGAAUGAGAAUCUCUAGUUGCAUCCAUGUUGCUGCAAAUGGCAUCAUUUUGUUAUUUUUCAUGGCUGAGUAGUAUUCCAUUGUGUACAUGUAUCAUAUCUUCUGAAUCCAUGUUUUUGAAGCAGCGCAAACCCCUCUAGUCUUUACCCAGACCCACUAAGUAAUCCACUGCCGGCUUUGGGGUUCCAGAACUCCUUCCUCUCGCUUCCUCAAGUCUGUCUUUUAGACAGGGAUCUGUUUCUCUGUUCCUGGCUGAGAAAUAGGUAUCUGUUCUGAGAUGACCUUUCACCUGGAACUAUUAAAAUGCAUUGGUCUUUUGCAGGUAUUUCUGUACCAGGAAAGAGCUCUCAGCCCCUAAAAGUCCCAGAUAGAAAGCUCAUCUACAGCCGGAUGAGAGGCCAAGGCAGUUACUGUUCUCACUUUCCUGUCUGCCCUUCUUCGCUCGCUCUGCAGGGGAAGGCAGGAGACCACACCUGUGUUUGCAGUAUCACAGACAUGCUGGGAUUGGCAAAUGUGCCAUUAGCCCACCAGGCUGGCACAGAAUGGCUACAUCAGAAGGACUUAAAUUUCACACGAUUUAUUACCACACUGAGAGGAGCCUCAAUAUACUGAAGACAGGCACUUUGGGUAAGUUACAGGCACACAGACCCAUAAUAUUCAAUUCCUCUGGCAUGCCUUCAACGUAGGCUCCAUUUCUACCAUUGUUUCUAGCUCCCCUUUUUGUAUACUCUUGUUUCAACCACUGAUUCUAGCCCAGAGGAUUCCUUUCGUUUCCUUAAUCAUUGGGAAGGGAAGAUCCUUUUCCCCUGGACCCCAAGUUCAUUCCUCCACACAGCCAUCUGAAC